GUAAUUAGCUCAAUGGUUAGAGCGCUUUAAAUAAUAAUAAAUUUAAAGAAAAAUAAAUUUUGUAACCCGAAGGUCCCCAGUUCGAUUCUGGGCAUCCAUUAUA